rnacentral:piRNA from 1 species
UAAGAAAGUAAAUUCUUUAGAACUCUGAAA